rnacentral:rRNA from 1 species
UUAGGCAUGCAAGUCGAACGGUAUAAACCUUCGGGGUUUAGAGAGUGGCGAACGGGUGAGUAACACGUAGGUAAUCUACCCUCAAAACGGGGACAACCCAGGGAAACUUGGGACUAAUACCGGAUGCGUGCAAGCAAUGUUUGGCUGUUAAUGCUAUUCACGGAAGUGAGUAGUGUUAAUGGUUGAGAGCAUUAUUUGCAUAAAAGGUGGCAUAUGCUGCCGUUUGAGGAUGAGCCUGCGUCCUAUUAGUUAGUUGGUGAGGUAAUGGCUUACCAAGGCGAUGAUAGGUAGGCGGCCUUAACGGGUGGUCGCCCACACUGGGAUUGAGAGACGGCCCAGACUCCUACGGGAGGCAGCAGUCGAGAAUAGUCUACAAUGGACGGAAGUCUGAUAGCGCGACGUCGCGUGAACGAAGAAUCCCUUCGGGGUGUAAAGUUCUUUUAUACGUGAGCAGUGCCCUUUAUAUGAAUAGUAUAGAGGGAGGGAUUUAAGCGUAUGAAUAAGCAACGGCUAACUCCGUG